rnacentral:rRNA from 1 species
UACGUAGGGGGCAAGCGUUGUCCGGAUUUAUUGGGCGUAAAGAGCUCGUAGGCGGUUUGUCGCGUCGAAUGUGAAAACCCGGGGCUCAACCCCGGGCCUGCAUUCGAUACGGGCAGACUAGAGUUCGGUAGGGGAGUCUGGAAUUCCUGGUGUAGCGGUGAAAUGCGCAGAUAUCAGGAGGAACACCGGUGGCGAAGGCGGAUCUCUGGGCCAUUACUGACGCUGAGGAGCGAAAGCGUGGGGAGCGAACAGG